rnacentral:rRNA from 1 species
UAAAUAGCCCGGCUGGCUUCUGCAAGUCGUUGGCUUCUUAGAGGGACUAUCGGCUCAAGCCGAUGGAAGUUUGAGGCAAUAACAGGUCUGUGAUGCCCUUCGAUGUCCUGGGCUGCACGCGCGCUACACUGACAGAGACAGCGAGUUUUUCCUUGACCGGAAGGUUUG